rnacentral:rRNA from 1 species
AGUAAUGCUUAGGAAUCUGCCUAUUAGUGGGGGACAACAUCUCGAAAGGGAUGCUAAUACCGCAUACGUCCUACGGGAGAAAGCAGGGGAUCUUCGGACCUUGCGCUAAUAGAUGAGCCUAAGUCGGAUUAGCUAGUUGGUGGGGUAAAGGCCUACCAAGGCGACGAUCUGUAGCGGGUCUGAGAGGAUGAUCCGCCACACUGGGACUGAGACACGGCCCAGACUCCUACGGGAGGCAGCAGUGGGGAAUAUUGGACAAUGGGGGGAACCCUGAUCCAGCCAUGCCGCGUGUGUGAAGAAGGCCUUAUGGUUGUAAAGCACUUUAAGCGAGGAGGAGGCUACUUUAGUUAAUACCUAGAGAUAGUGGACGUUACUCGCAGAAUAAGCACCGGCUAACUCUGUGCCAGCAGCCGCGGUAAUACAGAGGGUGCGAGCGUUAAUCGGAUUUACUGGGCGUAAAGCGUGCGUAGGCGGCUUAUUAAGUCGGAUGUGAAAUCCCCGAGCUUAACUUGGGAAUUGCAUUCGAUACUGGUGAGCUAGAGUAUGGGAGAGGAUGGUAGAAUUCCAGGUGUAGCGGUGAAAUGCGUAGAGAUCUGGAGGAAUACCGAUGGCGAAGGCAGCCAUCUG